GACGAACGCUGGCGGCGUGCUUAACACAUGCAAGUCGAGCGGUAAGGCCCUUUCGGGGGUACACGAGCGGCGAACGGGUGAGUAACACGUGGGUGACCUGCCCUCAGCUCUGGGAUAAGCCUGGGAAACCGGGUCUAAUACUGGAUAUGACUCCAUGACGCAUGUUGUGGGGUGGAAAGCCUUGUGCGGCUGAGGACGGGCCCGCGGCCUAUCAGCUUGUUGGUGGGGUGAUGGCCUACCAAGGCGACGACGGGUAGCCGGCCUGAGAGGGCGACCGGCCACACUGGGACUGAGACACGGCCCAGACUCCUACGGGAGGCAGCAGUGGGGAAUCUUGCGCAAUGGGCGAAAGCCUGACGCAGCGACGCCGCGUGAGGGAUGAC
rnacentral:rRNA from 1 species